rnacentral:rRNA from 1 species
AGUCGAACGGCAGCACGGGAGCAAUCCUGGUGGCGAGUGGCGAACGGGUGAGUAAUAUAUCGGAACGUGCCCAGUAGUGGGGGAUAGCCCGGCGAAAGCCGGAAUAAUACCGCAUGAGACCUGAGGGUGAAAGCGGGGGAUCGCAAGACCUCGCGCUACUGGAGCGGCCGAUAUCAGAUUAGCUAGUUGGUGGGGUAAAAGCUCACCAAGGCAACGAUCUGUAGUUGGUCUGAGAGGACGACCAGCCACACUGGGACUGAGACACGGCCCAGACUCCUACGGGAGGCAGCAGUGGGGAAUUUUGGACAAUGGGCGCAAGCCUGAUCCAGCAAUGCCGCGUGCAGGAAGAAGGCCUUCGGGUUGUAAACUGCUUUUGUCAGGGAAGAAAUCCUCUGGGUUAAUACCUCGGGGGGAUGACGGUACCUGAAGAAUAAGCACCGGCUAACUACGUGCCAGCAGCCGCGGUAAUACGUAGGGUGCGAGCGUUAAUCGGAAUUACUGGGCGUAAAGCGUGCGCAGGCGGCUUUGCAAGACAGAUGUGAAAUCCCCGGGCUCAACCUGGGAACUGCAUUUGUGACUGCAAGGCUAGAGUACGGUAGAGGGGGAUGGAAUUCCGCGUGUAGCAGUGAAAUGCGUAGAUAUGCGGAGGAAACACCAUGGCGAAGGCNAUCCCCUGGACCUGUACUGACGCUCAUGCACGAAGCGUGGGGAGCAACAGGAUAGAUACCCUGUAGUCCACGCCUAACAUGUCACUGGUGUG